UACGAAGGGUGCAAGCGUUAAUCGGAAUUACUGGGCGUAAAGCGUGCGUAGAUGGUUUGUUAAGUCGAAUGUGAAAGCCCCGGGCUCAACCUGGGAACCGCGCUUGAGACUGGCACGCUAGAGUUCGGGAGAGGAUGGUGGAAUUCCCAGUGUAGAGGUGAAAUUCGUAGAUAUUGGGAAGAACACCGAUGGCGAAGGCAGCCAUCUGGACCGACACUGACGCUGAGGCGCGAAAGCGUGGGGAGCAAACAGG
rnacentral:rRNA from 1 species